AUACGGAGGGUGCAAGCGUUAUCCGGAAUCAUUGGGUUUAAAGGGUCCGUAGGCGGGCUAUUAAGUCAGAGGUGAAAUCCCACAGCUCAACUGUGGAACUGCCUUUGAUACUGAUAGUCUUGAGUUACAGUGAAGUAGAUAGAAUGUGUAGUGUAGCGGUGAAAUGCAUAGAUAUUACACAGAAUACCGAUUGCGAAGGCAGUCUACUACGUAUAUACUGACGCUAAGGGACGAAAGCGUGGGGAGCGAACAGGAUUAGAAACCCCAGUAGUCC
rnacentral:rRNA from 1 species